UAGGGAAUCUUCCACAAUGGACGCAAGUCUGAUGGAGCAACGCCGCGUGAGUGAAGAAGGUCUUCGGAUCGUAAAGCUCUGUUGUUGGUGAAGAAGGAUAGAGGCAGUAACUGGUCUUUAUUUGACGGUAAUCAACCAGAAAGUCACGGCUAACUACGUGCCAGCAGCCGCGGUAAUACGUAGGUGGCAAGCGUUGUCCGGAUUUAUUGGGCGUAAAGUGAGCGCAGGCGGAAUGAUAAGUCUGAUGUGAAAGCCCACGGCUCAACCGUGGAACUGCAUCGGAAACUGUCAUUCUUGAGUGCAGAAGAGGAGAGUGGAACUCCAUGUGUAGCGGUGGAAUGCGUAGAUAUAUGGAAGAACACCAGUGGCGAAGGCGGCUCUCUGGUCUGCAACUGACGCUGAGGCUCGAAAGCAUGGGUAGCGAACAGGAUUAGAUACCCUGGUAGUCCGUGCCGUAAACGAUGAGCGCUAGGUGUUGGGGACUUUCCGGUUCUCAGUGCCGCAGCAAACGCAUUAAGCGCUCCGCCUGGGGAGUACGACCGCAAGGUUGAAAC
rnacentral:rRNA from 1 species